rnacentral:rRNA from 1 species
GGGACAAGAAUUUUAAUCUAAAACAACUUUUAACAAUGGAUCUCUUGGCUCUCGCAUCGAUGAAGAACGCAGCGAAAUGCGAUAAGUAAUGUGAAUUGCAGAAUUCAGUGAAUCAUCGAAUCUUUGAACGCAUAUUGCGCUUUCCGGCAUUCCGGAGAGCAUGCCUGUUUGAGUAUUGGCCUAAAUGAGAGUCUUCCUUUAAAGAUAUAAAAAAGAACGUUAAGAACCCUCAGUUGAGACUUCUCGACAAUUCAUUGCCGAGUGUUUUAAAAUGCAAUAGUACCGCCACGUUUGCGAACUUGGAGUAAUAUGUGAGCCUGAAAAGGUGACCUCUAUUCUCCUCGGACCAUGUAGACCUGUUAAGCGGGAAGUUUUUGAAUGCCGAAUUAUGGGAGACGGUGUUCAAUUGUUCGAGUAACGACGAACGAAAUAAACUCAAUCUCAAAUCAGGUAGGAUUACCCGCUGAACUUAAGCAUAUCA